rnacentral:rRNA from 1 species
UAACGCGUAGGUAACCUGCCUGGUAGCGGGGGGUAACUAUUGGAAACGAUAGCUAAUACCGCAUGACAACAGUUAUUGCAUGAUAACUGUUUAAAGGGGGCAACUGCUCCACUACCAGAUGGACCUGCGUUGUAUUAGCUAGUUGGUGAGGUAACGGCUCACCAAGGCGACGAUACAUAGCCGACCUGAGAGGGUGAUCGGCCACACUGGGACUGAGACACGGCCCAG